UACGUAGGGGGCAAGCGUUGUCCGGAAUCAUUGGGCGUAAAGCGCGUGUAGGCGGCCCGAUAAGUCCGCUGUGAAAGUCCAGGGCUCAACCCUGGGAUGCCGGUGGAUACUGUCGGGCUCGAGUCCGGAAGAGGCGAGUGGAAUUCCUGGUGUAGCGGUGAAAUGCGCAGAUAUCAGGAGGAACACCAAUGGCGAAGGCAGCUCGCUGGGACGUGACUGACGCUGAGACGCGAAAGCUAGGGGAGCAAACGGG
rnacentral:rRNA from 1 species